AGAGAGAGACAUGCGCGCAUAUCAAUAAGCGGAGGAAAAGAAACUAACAAGGAUUCCCUUAGUAACGGCGAGUGAAGCGGGAAGAGCUCAAAUUUGAAAUCUUCAAGGUUCUACCUUGACGAAUUGUAGUUUAUAGAAGUGUUUUCUGUUAGUGGAGUGGCAAAAGUUCUUUGGAAUAGGGACAUCAUAGAGGGUGAGAAUCCCGUAUUUGGUCAUUCCUCCUAGCGUUGUGAUACACUUUCAACGAGUCGGAUUGUUUGGGAAUGCAGUCCAAAAUGGGUGGUAAAUUUCAUCUAAAGCUAAAUAUUGGCGAGAGACCGAUAGCGAACAAGUACCGUGAGGGAAAGAUGAAAAGAACUUUGAAAGAGAGUUAAACAGUACGUGAAAUUGUCAAAAGGGAAGCGUUUGACACCAGUGUUGUUUUUCCGAAUAUCAAUUACGAAUGUUUUGUUUCUGAGGAGUUAUGACUUCAUCGGCUUGCCUUCUCUCUUCACGAAACUUUUGUAAUGCACUUUUCGGUUAACAAGUCAACAUCGAAUUUCUUUUGUUGUAAAAGGAGUAUUCGAGGAAGGUGGCUUUCUUUUCGGAGAAAGUGUUUAUAGCCUUGUGCCUCUGCAAUCGGAGAGAUUGAGGUCUGCAGCGUAGAUCCUUCGGGGUUAGAUACAUUUGUGCUAAGUUAUAGCUUUUCAUAGACAACUUGUUGACUAUGUUUAGUCUUGUAGCUUACUCGCUUAUGCUAUUUUACCUACGCUUAGGAUGUUGAUCUGUAGUGCGUGCGC
rnacentral:rRNA from 1 species